UUUUGUAUACGUUCGAAGUUCAAUCCAUGCGCAAUGAAUUUGCGCAUUUACGAAAAGGGUGAAUAAGUGAAAAAAUUUUGGUAAGAUUUUCGGAUAGUUAACUCAACGAUAUUCAAAAUGACUGGUGGUACAUCCACCGAAAAGUCAACAAGUAAUCCUCUGGAACAAUUUGUGCUGCUUGCAAAAACAGCUAAAGGUGCAGCAGCUUUGGAAUUAAUAUGUCAAGCUGUAGAAACACCGGGAGUUCAUGUCUUUGGUGAAUUACUGGAUAUGCCAAAUAUAAAGGAAUUGGAAAGUGGUCCAUAUGUUCAAUAUUGGAAUACAUUAAAUUUAUUUGCAUAUGGUACAUAUAAACAAUAUUUAGAGAAUAAAGAUAAGGUUCUGGAAUUGACUCCUACGCAAAAAAAGAAGCUUCAACAUCUUACAAUUGUAACACUUGCAACUAAGUCUAAAUGUAUACCUUAUUCUAUCUUGCUUGAAGAACUUGAUAUAAAAAAUGUCAGAGAUCUAGAGGAUUUAAUAAUAGAAGCUAUAUAUGCAGACAUAAUACAUGGUAAAUUAGAUCAAAAAAAUUCUCAAUUGGAAGUGGAUUAUGCUGGGUUAGGACGAGAUGUUAGACCCGGUGAUGCAGGAGUAGUAGCAGAAACUUUAUCUGCUUGGGGUGAAGCUUGUGACGCUGUUUUAGCGUGCAUCGAAGAACAAGUGACACGUGCAAAUGUAGAAAAACAAAAAGCCACUUAUCACAAAGAAAGAAUACAACGAGAUAUUGCCAAUAUAAAGAAAUUGUUGGCUGCUCAAGCUGGUGGUGGUGGAGUACAAGAAGCUGAUGUAGCAGGAGGUAGUUCUAGUGCAGGUGGCAGUGAAUCUGGUAGAGAAGCUUUACCGGUGCUACCGGAUCUAAAGAAAAAGCAACAGAAGGUGAAAUGUCUCAGAGGCAGUGACAUGCAAUUGUCACCGUAGCAGAGAGACUGAUGGUCACCGACAUCGAAGUGAUCCUCAAUGCGACAUGAUUACCAGUACCAAAAUAAAGUGGAACAAAGGCUAGCCAUAUAACACAGAUAAUCAUCGCUUACUUACCAAUAUAUUUACUUUCGUUAAAAGCUUCAGGAAUUUUUCUCGUGAGUACCGCAUAAAUGGUGCAAACAACUAUCAGCAUAAUAGGAUAUGCAAAGGCAAUCAUAUAGCUAGCAUCGAUAUAGCUAUUGCAAACAAGCAAAUUAUCCUCUUUAGUAGGAUAAUGAUGCAUCGCUUUAGCUGGAUCGAUAACAAUCCAUACACCGUUAAUAAGUAUCUGUACCGCUACUAAACCGGAACAAAUGAACAAUUGAGAUCUUGGUGAUAUAAAUGACGGUCUCUUGGCACUGUGUUUUCCAGCGUUAAAAAUUCUUGAUAUUCGAUUUGUUUUUGUCAAAAGUGCUGCAUAAACUACGGUAAAGCAAAAUCCAGCACCGAAUCUGUAGGAAAUGAUUUGGUUAGAUAGAAGAUCUAUCUAUGUCCGAAUGAAAGAUCUUACAUGUACAUUUGAAAGCUAUGUAUAUACAUAUGUCGGAUAGCAUCGGAAAGAUGCGUCGAAGUUAACUUACCUUUGAAUACUGCAAACAAGAUUGGUAGGUCUGAGUACUAGAGCAAACGUGACCAGAUAGCAGAGUAAGAUACCAGUGAGAAGGACGUAAGAAAGUUCUCGACCGGAAGCACGAACGACAGGGGUGUCGUUAUGUUUUAGGAAUACACCGCAGACGAAUAAAGUCACCUAAGAAAUUCCAAAAAAAAAAAAUAAA